rnacentral:rRNA from 1 species
CCGGUUGAUCCUGCCGGAGGCUACCGCUAUUGGAGUUCGAUUAAGCCAUGCGAGUCGCGAGUCUUAGGGACUCGGCGUACCGCUCAGUAACACGUGGGUAACCUGCCCUAUGCUGGGGGAUAACCUCGGGAAACUGAGAAUAAUACCCCAUAGUUCACCACGCCUGGAACGGUUGGUGGACCAAAGCUCCGGCGGCAUAGGAUGGGCCUGCGGCGUAUCAGGUUGUAGGGGGUGUAAUGUACCCUCUAGCCCUCUACGCGUACGGGUGUUGAGAGACAUCGCCCGGAGAUGGAUUCUGAGACACGAAUCCAGACCCUACGGGGUGCAGCAGGCGCGAAAACUUGGCAAUGCGAGAAAUCGUGACCAGGGAACUCCAAGUGCAUCGGGUAAGACCGAUGCUUUUCUUGACUCUUCAAAGGUCUUGGAAUAAGGGGUGGGUAAGGACGGUGCCAGCCGCCGCGGUAAUACCGGCGCCCCAAGUGGUAGUCGCUUUUAUUGGGCCUAAAACGUCCGUAGCCGGUCUGGUACAUUCGUGGGUAAAUCAACCAGCUCAACUGGUUGAAUUCUGCGAGCACGGCCAGACUUGGGACCGGGAGAGGUGUGGGGUACUCUCAGGGUAGGGGUAAAAUCCUGUCAUCCUGAGAGGACCACCUGUUGCGAAGGCGCCACACUAGAACGGAUCCGACGGUCAGGGACGAAGCCUAGGGGCACGAACCGGAUUAGAUACCCGGGUAGUCCUAGGUGUAAACGCUGUGGACUUGAUGUUGGGGGCGCUCCGAGCGCACUCAGUGUCGAAGCGAAGGUGAUAAGUCCACUGCCUGGGGAGUACGGUCGCAAGGCUGAAACUUAAAGGAAUUGGCGGGGGAGCACCGCAACCUGAGGAUUGUGCGGUUUAAUUGGAUCAACGCCGG